UAAUACUGUACAUUUUCCUGACACUUACAGAUCACUGUUUUGUCAUUUUUAUACUUCUAUAUAAUUAGUAACAUUCUAAAAUUUAAGUUCUGAAUUAUCCUGGGGCAAAUAACUUAGCAUAUUCAUUUAGGAUGCUUAAUAGCAUAGCAAAGCUCUGGUCAAAUGACUUCUCUCUCCUACCAAGACUGAAGAUUGGAGUAGAAACAUCUGGCUAAAAUUCUAUCAACUAGCCGAGAGGAUGGUGACAGCAACUGUACAGGAUGGAAUAAGAAUGCUGAUCUUGCAAGAAAAUUCCCCUCUGAAGUAUUUUUGCAGCUCAUACACAAAUCUAACCUAAGGAUAUUAUGAAUAUUUCCAUUUUGAAAAUAUUUAGAAGACAGACACUUUGGAGUGACAGAAUUUGUUGCAAAUUUCUCUAUUUCACAGGUUGUAAGAAUGGAGAAGAAUGGAAGAAGGGAAGAGAUCACUUUGAUCUAUAUUCAAGAUUAGGUGGCUGUAGAUGAAUGGAAGAUUGGUUACUAGUGGACACAAAUAUUUGGCAUUCAAAAGUGAACCAGUUAGAAAUACUGCUCUUAGCCCUUGAUGUGGCCUUUAUGUUUUGUUGUUAUUUCAUAUCAUCAUUAAGCUGAAUGAUCUUCCACUGUGCUAUAUUCUGAACUGAGAAAAGAUAAUUACAAUUUUAUUACAAUAUACUGUGAUAUCACUUUUACAGAUGGAUUAAAUGAAGUUUAAAAAAAGACUGGAUGUGGCACUUGGUGCCAUGAUCUAGUUGAGGUGUUGGAACAUGGGUUGGACUCGAUGAUCUUAAAGGUCUCUUCCAACCUAGAAUUUCUGUGAUUCUGUGAAUUUGGAUGUGUGUGCAAAAAAAGUCCAAAUUAAGGGUUAAUAUAAUGUGAAAUUUGCUCAUAUCCUCGUUUUGCCUCACUAUACUAAGGAUGCUUCUUUUGGUUCUCAAGGAAAGAAUUCAGGAGAUAAAAAAUGGACACAAAGGAGCACAUUUUCAAGAGUAACAGGGAGAGCAGCACUGAAGUAAGAAAAGGGAGGAAAAAAGCCAAAAAAACAAAAGCCAGAAGGUAUAAUCUGAUCUGAAGCCUGUGACUAGCUUAAUAAAAUUACUGAAUUGUUUAAUAGUAUCUCA
rnacentral:lncRNA from 1 species